rnacentral:rRNA from 1 species
CAGUCGCCGCGGGAAUACGAAGGGUGCAAGCGUUAAUCGGAAUUACUGGGCGUAAAGCGUGCGCAGGCGGUUUGUUAAGACAGAUGUGAAAUCCCCGGGCUCAACCUGGGAACUGCAUUUGUGACUGGCAAGCUAGAGUGUGGCAGAGGGGGGUGGAAUUCCGCGUGUAGCAGUGAAAUGCGCAGAUAUGCGGAGGAACACCGAUGGCGAAGGCAGCCCCCUGGGCCAACACUGACGCUCAUGCACGAAAGCGUGGGGAGCAAACAGGAUUAGAUACCCCAGUAGUCCCUGUCUCUUAUAA